rnacentral:rRNA from 1 species
CGAGAAAUCGGCGCUAAUACCCCAUAACACUGCGAAGAGGCAUCUCUUCGCAUUUAAAGCUCCGGCGGUAUAAGAUGGGCAUGCGUCCAAUUAGCUAGUUGGUGAGGUAACGGCUCACCAAGGCUACGAUUGGUAGGGGUUCUGAGAGGAUGAUCCCCCACACUGGUACUGAGACACGGACCAGACUCCUACGGGAGGCAGCAGUGAGGAAUAUUGCGCAAUGGACGAAAGUCUGACGCAGCCAUGCCGCGUGCAGGAUGACGGCCCUAUGGGUUGUAAACUGCUUUUGUAUGGGAAUAAACCCUUCUACGUGUAGAAGGCUGAAGGUACCAUAAGAAUAAGCACCGGCUAACUCCGUGCCAGCAGCCGCGGUAAUACGGAGGGUGCAAGCGUUAUCCGGAUUUAUUGGGUUUAAAGGGUCCGUAGGCGGGCCGAUAAGUCAGUGGUGAAAGCCCAUAGCUCAACUAUGGAACUGCCAUUGAUACUGUCGGUCUUGAGUAUAUGUGAUGUUGGCGGAAUGUGUAGUGUAGCGGUGAAAUGCUUAGAUAUUACACAGAACACCGAUUGCGAAGGCAGCUGACAAAUAUAUAACUGACGCUGAGGGACGAAAGUGUGGGGAUCAAACAGGAUUAGAUACCCUGGUAGUCCACACCGUAAACGAUGAUUACUAGAUUUUGGCCUUAUGGUCAGAGUCCAAGCGAAAGUGUUAAGUAAU